AUCCAGGGAGCCCAUGCCUCGGUAUUUCUUCAGCCGAAUGCCGUCAGAGAAGAAAUAUUCACCAGGAGCUUCACUGGUGGCGGCUAGCAGAGAGCCCAUCAUCACUGCACAUGGACAGAGAGAGAAGGUAGUGAGUGGAAGCCAUCUAUACAUACCUGUGGAUGCUCCCAGUGCCAGGGCUUUGGCGACGUGCCCGACAGUCUGGAUGCCGCCAUCAGCGAUGACCGGCACACCAAAACGCCUGGCGUACUCUGAUACCUUAUAGACCGCUGUGGCCUGGGGUCUGCCGCAUGCCAGCACUGAAGGGAGGAACGGAGGACGUUUAAAUGAUAAAUACAGAUGAUCUUUGGAACCAGAAAUCAUCAGCUGGCCGAUGGCAGCUGUAAUGUAUCAGUUCAUUUUGACAGGCAUGCAUGGUGGAAACUCAGCGAUUCAAGUGAUGUUAAAAAAAAAUAAAUAAAUAAAAACAAAUCACACACAGUGAAUGAGCAGACAGGCGAGGAACGUGACUCUUUCUGUUAAAGAAAAGUACGAAUGAGGAAGUUAAACUUGUCACAUCAGCAGACGAAUCCCACACCACAGAAAGACUCACACCCGUCGCACAUAAAUGUAUACUUUCGUUAUUCAGCCCAAUCGACUGAUUUCAAUUAUAUCUGCAAGAUUUUAAACCAAUCUUUCACACCAUCGCAGACAAGUGCAGACAAAGACAAACAUCCUAAUUCCUUUUUUCACUACGAGAGUUGUUUUGUUUCCUGUGAACUUGGGGCUGCACGGUACUUACCAAACGUGUAAUCAUAAUUAUCUUGCUAUGCACUGACAGGACAUGUUGCAAAGGGCUCUCUGAAUAAAUUAUUUGCAACUUUAAAGUUAAAAUCCUCCUGUUGAUUUGAUGGCACCCAUGGGUAACUGGUGGUGUGUGGAAGUACAGUUUAAUACUUCAGGUCCCAGAAUUCAGUGGGCAGCAAACACUCCAUGAGUAGAACUGGUACAUACAUAAGAAUGAUGAACUCUUUCAGAGCAAUUGUUGAUUCAAUAAUGCAAAAUAAUAAUAUAAUACAAUAAAGUGCAUCAAAAAUGGGAUUGAUUUCAUGAAAAUCUUUAAUAUUAAAGUACAGUGGCUGAAGGGAAAUCCGUCAGCCUGAUCCUGUCUUCUAAAUUUAGAAGUUUUAGAAAGUCUGCUGUUGCAAGACUGCUGCUACUUUGUGUACUAAGUGAUUAUAAACUAUUUUUAUUGUUCAGUAUGUGUCUCAUUUCAUAAAACAUACGAUCAAAGCAGAAAAAGAGACAUGACAACAGUCAUAGGAACAGAAACACGUCAUGUUUUCUCAGCCCUUAUGCUGCUCAGACUACAAGUAGCAGGUGAGGGCUGACGCCCCACGAGGUCUGUAUGCAGAAUGAAUUUACUGUGACGACUAUAAGAGAGGGAGACAACCACUUCAGAAUGUGUCACAAACAAAUGACCAAAGAUAAAUGCAUCAUGGCUGCUGCCUCCUUGAAAAUAAUGAUUAUGAUAUUUGAGUCCUGAAGCAAUGCUGCCAGCUGAAACAGAACCUGCCUGCUUCCAAACAGCUCACCGUGUUCACCACCUCUGCUAAACUGAGACACCCUGUGGCUGCCAGCUACAUUACAGAGCCACUCUGCUGUUUGCUUGUUCCAGUGCCUUGUGUUAGGGAUGGAGGAGAGCUGUGGUCUGACAAUGACAAUGAUAGGGGGGGGAGUGGGUGGUGUGGUAAUGAGUCAUGAUCAUGUCACAGAAGCAGCACACAGAGGGUUUGGGCUUAAACCAGCCACGUUCUGAUCAGUGCUAUCCAAAGCACACAAGUGCAUAGUGUCUCAAUCUGAUGACAUCAUCCAGAUACGAGACCCAAAGGUCAGUAUAGUGGGUGGAGCAACAUUCACAGAGGAUGAAUGACAGAUUAGUGAGGACACGGGAACAAGCAAAACCCCAAAACCCCAAAAGCUCUCAAAACAAACCAAAAACCGACUACCGCUACGUCUGCUACCGAUGCAAAGCUGUUAACCAAUCAAUGCAGCAGGCUGUGAAGUGUGGGGGAGGAGGGGCGGGCACACUAAUGAUAGUGGAGCCAAUGGGAGCCCAGCGCAGGCCAAAAGGUG